rnacentral:rRNA from 1 species
UACGUAGGGGGCUAGCGUUGUCCGGAAUCAUUGGGCGUAAAGCGCGUGUAGGCGGCCCGGUAAGUCCGCUGUGAAAGUCGGGGGCUCAACCCUCGGAUGCCGGUGGAUACUGUCGGGCUAGAGUACGGAAGAGGCGAGUGGAAUUCCUGGUGUAGCGGGUGAAAUGCGCAGAUAUCAAGGAGGAACACCAAUUGCGAGGCAGCUCGCUGGGACGUUAACUGACGCUGAGACGCGAAGCGUGGGGAGCAAACAGG